UACGGAGGAUGCGAGCGUUAUCCGGAUUUAUUGGGUUUAAAGGGUGCGUAGGCGGAAGUUCAAGUCAGUGGUGAAAGUUUGCGGCUCAACCGUAAAAUUGCCAUUGAAACUGAAUUUCUUGAGUACAGUAGAGGUAAGCGGAAUGUGUAGUGUAGCGGUGGAAUGCUUAGAUAUUACACAGAACACCAAUUGCGAAGGCAGCUUACUGGAGUGUAACUGACGCUGAGGCACGAAAGCGUGGGUAGCGAACAGG
rnacentral:rRNA from 1 species